UACGUAGGCAGCGAGCGUUGUUCGGAAUUACUGGGCGUAAAGAGUGUGUAGGCGGUGUUCCCAGUCUGUUGUGAAAUCUCCCGGCUUAACUGGGAGGGUGCAGCGGAAACUAGAAUGCUAGAGGGUGGGAGAGGUAAGCGGAAUUCCUGGUGUAGCGGUGGAAUGCGCAGAUAUCAGGAGGAACACCGAUGGCGAAGGCAGAUCUCUGGGCCGUAACUGACGCUGAGGAGCGAAAGCGUGGGGAGCGAACAGG
rnacentral:rRNA from 1 species